ACUAAAAACUUCAUCCAUCAUCCGCUUCCAUUUUUCUCGUAAAUUACAUUUACAAGAAUAUCGUUGGCAACUAACAGCGUAAACACAUUAUAUAUAAUUACUAGAUAAUUAUUCCAUUGCAAAAGUGUGUCAUCCUGAAUGGGUCACAGACAGUACACCGUCGGGCAGGUAGAUAAUGUUCGCGAUGGAAACUACUCGAUCGACACAGUGUCUUUUUGUAAAAUUUCUUAAAACGCUACAGAAUGGAAUAUUGUUUCACUGGUUGGAAUUACGAUGUCUCUGGAAUGUUUGUUGCGGUAUCUAAGAGUAGUGUGCGAUGGGUAGUGCUGCUUCGCAGGCACCUGUGCUCAUGCGUUGUUUAAUAACAAGUGAUGCGUGUGUAAAUUUCGUGUAGUGGCAGUGGAAAGAGAUAGUAUAGGCCGGCCAGAAGUCAAACCAACAUUAACACAAAAGAAAAAAAAGAAAGAGAACUACAAGUGACGCUUGUCUGUUACACAUCGUGCUUGCUGCCGAAAAUAAAAUAAAGUGGAGAAAUUAAAAAGAAAAGAAAAAGGAAUAGAAGGAUGACAUCGUUGAAUCAUCGCUCACACGGAAGGAAGCUCCGAAUCAUGCUAAAAACAAGCUGGCAACUGGUACGUGGGAUGAUAUAUGUUUUAGAUUCCUGUCUCGAAGAGAAGAACUCGAUAAAUUUUCUUCAACGUCCUAACCAAAUAUCGUGUUCAUCGCCUCGUCGACUUCUUGCGGUAGACGUGGACGUCGCGCGGAGGAGUUGCAACGCGGAAGCCCCGUCUAGCGUUCUAAGCUCGCUAAUAACCUGGCGGCGGGUCAUUAUUCUAGAGAAGGAGGUAACGGAGGCGGCGGUCGCACGCACAGUUUCCCACUCAAAAUGAAAAACCCGAACGCGACCCAUCGUAGAGGGGGCAACGGUGAUGCAUGCACCGAAUACUUUCAGUGUCGGACGCCGACGAAUCGUGGUGGGGAAACUCGUGUCUGACGCCACUACGCACAUCUCUACCCCAAGCUUAGUCUAGCCUUAAUAGUCAUCCACUGGAAGCCGGAGACGAUGAAGCUGGCCAGAACGAAACGUCUUUCUCUGGAUCUUAUUCUGCUACGGCAAUCUCCGUUUCCACGCUUCGUCAAUUUCUCUUGGCAGGGACAUCAAGUGACAUUUAAGUGAUAUUCAAGUGAUAUUUAAGCGGUGCUUCGAAUGGUACGCGUAACGGUGACAGUUUCUGACCAGUUUCGUGAUUAAUUGCUGAUCAACGUGGUGUUUGACAGUUGGCUGCCUUCGAUCGGACUGCAUCGCUUUGUUUGCGACAAUGUCGAAUGCUAGUUCGAUCGAAGUGCAGCCGCGAUUGAACUGGACACGUCUGAUCCUUUAUCGAAGUUGAACGUCGCGAAGGUAGUGUGGUAUAUAUAUAUAUAUAUUUUAAAGAUAAAUUCUCGGUGAGCGUUGGUGCGAAAAUUUGAAUAAAAUUCGUGUGGUUGGUUAUAAUACAAUCUUUGUGGUGCUUGAUCGAAGUGACAGACUCGUCGGUGGAAAUAUAUAGAGUUUUUACGUUUUUCUUCGGUGGUUGUUACAGUGAAUUGUUGAUAUAUUCUUUUUAUGUUCAGUUUGAUUUAUUAUCGAACGUAAUUAAUCAUUUAUUCGGUAUAAAUAUGAGUUUCGUUUCUAUUGUUGGACGAUUACAAAUACGUUCGUUGCGAGAUUUAGUGAUUCAUAUAUUUUUUUUCGAGACACGAGACUCACGUACCAUGUUCGUACGAGAUAACGAUCAGUAUGAUUCUUCUUUUCUUUUUUAGCGGUGAUGAUUCACCUGUGGUGAACAAGACAAAGCGUUGUUUAUCGUGGUGAGUCUCGUUUCUCGGAUACAUGUGAGAACGGAUACAGUGAUACACACUAGGAUCUAAUGGAUGACACACAAAAUUUAUUCGAUGAAUCACGGACGAUUGGAGUGGUCAUGUACAAAAAUAAAAAUAAAAUCAACGUUUAGCGAGA